rnacentral:lncRNA from 1 species
UUCACAAAUAAUGUGAAACUCUCCUGUUUAUUUCUUUUUCUGUUUAUUUCUUUAGAAAUAAGAGAUUUGACUGAAGGGAGCAAAUGUCGCUGUGGAAAUUGCUAGCUGGAUUAAUUAUUAAGUAAUUGGGAAUGGGCAGAGCCCGGGCCUCAGCCCAGCGAAGUCUCCUGUGGUCAGAGCCACUCAGUCCAGCAUCCUGGACGGAUCCUUGGCCUUCUGAGCCAGAGACCUGCUGCAGGUGCUGGCCCACCAGGAAGAAAGUUGCUCCAGUCUCCUCCUGCACUCUGCCCUCAUUUCAGAAAUGCCAGCCUUUAAAAGAAUCAUUCAAGAUUGGGAAUAUCAGUGCCUUUGAGGAGAAAGCACUUCAAGGACCCAGCCUCUGAAGUCCAAUUCGGCGCUCCUUGGUCACCCCAGCUGUGGUGUGUACACAGUCAGAAAAGUGUGACUGCAUUCAGUGGGUGCUAACUACGCAGGUGCACAAAAUGCAGGAGCUGUGGUGAUGUGAGUACAUCCACCUAGAUACCAAGGAUGCCUCAGAGAGCUGCAGAGUUGGGAGUGGAGGGACCACUACGGCCCCCAGGGCAAUGCAGAGAACCCAUUGUAGAGCAUUACCCUAUGGGAUCAAGGGUACAGGCUCACACCCAUCACCACACAGAGGGAGCCUUGCACACUCACACUGAGAAACCAUGGGCCUCUCUAUAGUCCGAGACAGCUGUAAGCACCAGAAACUUACCCUUGAGAAUAGCCACAUGGGCCUUGGGUCAAGGCUGCCUGAAGCCUUAGGGACCCAUCUUUUAUCCCAGUGACUCUGGAAGGUGAGGCAUGAAGAAAAAGAAGCUUAUUCUUGUACUUUAAGAUUUUGUAUUUGUCCUGUUAAGUUUGGUACUUACUUGUGACCAAUUAUUCCUGUAUUCUUUCCUGUUUCUGCCUUUCUGAAUAAAGAUGUCAUCAUACACUGGACUCACCAUUUUGAAAGCACUAUAACUUGUUAAAUUCCACAAAUUCUUAUCUUAAGAAUAACUUGCCUCAAGAUCAGUAAUACCUUCAGUCUCAACCAAAUCUAAUUUAGAUGUUUGCUUUAUUUGUUUUUUGAUACUGGGAAGUGAACCUAGCAUCUCAUGAACUCUAGAAAAGAGCUCUACCACUAAGCUAUACCCCCAGCUCUUUUUAUUUUAGUUCAGGAUAGGGUUUCACAAAGUCACCCAGGC